UUUUCCCCUAGGAAGUACAUAUGGAGGACAUACCACUUAACCUACGCCGGAGAGAAACUGGCAGAUGACAGAAAGAAACUGAGAGAGUAUGGCAUCAGAAACCGGGAUGAGGUCAGCUUCAUAAAGAAACUUCGAAAGUAACCUAUCAAUCAGAGAGAGCAGAGAAUCCAGCACUACCAAGACCAGACUGUGGAUUCAGCAGGUUCCCGGAGGAAAAAAGGUUGUAACAUUUCAAAGAGAAACAAACUCCAGUUGAAUGGACGUUCUCACGUUUUUUGUAGUUGCUAUUUGAAACGUCUGCUUCUCAGCUGUAUGUGGAACGCGCUUUCAGUGAUUAAAGAGACCCUCUAGUUUUCUGAGGCUUUUAAGGCCCUU